GACAGAGGAGGCAAGCGUUAUCCGGAAUUAUUGGGCGUAAAGCGUAUGUAGGUGGCUUGUCAAGUCCUUUGUCAAAGCGUGGAGCUUAACUCCAUAACGGCGAGGGAAACUGACAGGCUAGAGUACAGCAGGGGCAGGAGGAAUUCCCGGUGUAGCGGUGAAAUGCGUAGAUAUCGGGAAGAACACCAGUGGCGCAAGCGUUCUGCUGGGCUGUAACUGACACUGAGGCACGAAAGCUAGGGGAGCGAAAGGG
rnacentral:rRNA from 1 species